UUUCUUUUCACGUUUGGUUCCUGCAAUAAAACAGCUUUAAUUCGAUUCAUUUAUCCGGUCUGACAGGAAGAAGCAACUCAGUGUCACAUCAGACGAUGAAAUUAAGUUUUUUAUUCCCUGCUUAAAUCUUCCAUCUGGUAGCAACAGCUCUACAGUGCUGGCAUUUAUCGAGAGAAGACACACAGCACAGCCUUGCAUAAAUAAUGGCACUGGGCCAAGUACAGCUGAGGUGGUUGCCAGCACAACUCCAUUGAAGUCAAAGGAAUUGCACCACGGGUGAGUUUGGCCGUUGGCUCGGGUUAUGUAGGAGACUUUAACAUGACAAU
rnacentral:lncRNA from 1 species